rnacentral:rRNA from 1 species
CGAAGGGUGCAAGCGUUACUCGGAAUUACUGGGCGUAAAGCGUGCGUAGGUGGUGAGUUAAGUCUGUCGUGAAAGCCCCGGGCUCAACCUGGGAAUGGCGAUGGAUACUGGCUCGCUAGAGUGCGGUAGAGGAGAGUGGGAAUUCCCGGUGUAGCAGUGAAAUGCGUAGAGAUCGGGAGGAACAUCAGUUGCGAAGGCGGCUCUCUGGACCAGCACUGACACUGAGGCACGAAAGCGUGGGGAGCAAACAGGAUUAGAUACCCUGGUAGUCCACGCCCUAAACGAUUUGCGAACUGGACGUUGGGAGCAAUCAGGCUCUCAGUGUCGAAGCUAACGCGUUAAGUUCGCCGCCUGGGGAGUACGGUCGCAAGACUG